GAGCUCCUACGCAGCCACAGCCGCCGCCUCCAACCAUCUCCCUCCCUCAGAUCUCGAACCGCCGCCGCCCCCCCCCCCCCCCCCACCGCCACCGUCGACGACCCUCACCGUAGACAAGAUCGAGCCCAUGCCCAGAUUCAUGAGUGGAGCCCCGCGAAGCUGCCCGCAAACUGCUCCUCUUCCCCAUCCCCGAUUCCUCUCCAAUCUCCACCGCCGCCGAUCCCCACCCCCCACCGGCGACAUCGUCUCCCCGUCCCCGGCCCCAUCCCCACCUCCGGCCGACCUCCCUCCUCAUCUCGUCCAUCCAACCAUGGAAACCUCCUUUUCCACGGAUCCACCCACCCUCCCACGUCCACCCAUGGAUGGAUGGAUGGAUGGGGCGCACCAGUUCCGGCGACGGCGGCGCCGGAUCCGCACCCACCUGCGCGAUGGAGGCCGGCCGCAUCGGGAUCCACCGCCUGCUCUCGGUCUGGUGCGGCACACCGGACCACACCUGAGAUUGCUACUGCGGUGGCCGUCGACGACGGCGCAUCUCCGGCGGGACCUAGAUGCCCAAGGCAUGCAUCCGUGGUUGGUGACCUCGUGUGCCGCCAUUGCCAGAGGCUGGCUGGCUGGAUCGACGGACGUCCGCGGUGCUGGUGUUUGCAGCCUUACAUCACAGAUUCCUGCAGUUCCAGGCUGAUUGGUGAGAUUACAGUUAUAAGGGUGGAUCGAUUAGCAUACUCUGCCUACUGAAUGCGUCCACAUAAACUGCCAGGUUAUAUAAGCUCGUGCGGAUGGGAGGUGGAUGCCCGCACGGAUCCGGCGUCUCCGACCUCGGCAUCCACAAGGAGGAGCGGCGACAGUUACAUACCCAACCAUGGGGCAGCAGCAAUUCAUGCAGACCGUAGCGACUUCGUAACUCAGCGAACUGAAAAAUGAUGGAGAUUUUGUGGAUAGCCACAGGGGCGUAUUGAGUCUGUUCCUAUAUACGUGUUGAGUCUGUUCCUAUGUACUGCAUAUUGUGUAAUGGAGUUUGCUUGUAUGGUGUUUGUGACAAUGUUUGUAUGAAAAUAAUUGACAUUGGUGACAGCGUACAUGGCCAUUAGAAACGCGGAAGCGUACAGCGGCUGCGGCUGCCCAUGCCCUGCUUCUCCUGGUCUCUGUGUACCCUGCCUGCAUACUGUCUGUUUGUGAUUUGUUCUAGCAAGUAUCUGUUCAUGAGAAAUAAGCUCUCCAGGAUUCACUGGACCAACAACUACUUGUUCUAGCAUGUUUAUUUCAAGAAAUUUGUGAUUCAUGCUGUUUGAUGAACCAGUACCCAUGUCGGGAGACUAGUAGAACUUGCAAACUUCAGUUUUCUCACCGGUAGUCACUUAUCCUGCUGUUCAUGUCCAUACAACAUUUGUAUUGGUUCUAUGUUACAGCUGCUGCAAACAAUUUAUUAAUGUGGGAUGUGGCUCUUUGUCCAGUUCUCUUUCUCUUCUAAAGAAAUCCCCUCUGCCUCUGGUGUGCAGCAAGUUGAUUGUUCUGUAUCUGUAUUAUU